GCAUCCAUGGCUAAACGGUUAAAGUACUCAACUCAUAAUUGACGAAUUCGUAGGUUCAAUUCCUACUGGAUGCA
rfam:Jatropha curcas cultivar GZQX0401 scaffold60_68, whole genome shotgun sequence.